GGAUAAAUCAAACUGAAAUGCAAAUCAUAGCUAAGGUCAGCUCAGCCUUCUCACAGUGACGCUCCAGUCAGCUCUCAUCACACACAAGCACCUUCCAUCACACGCUCAUCAACAACAAGCGAACACAAAGUUUGGGAGCUCAUGAACAGCACCACAAAUCUGCUUAAAGAGAUGAAUCGAGAGAUUUGGAUGUGUAAAAGAGACACCAGCAUUUAAGGAAUGUAUCAACUUUGCGGAUCAUAAGAUCUGUGAGAAGAGC
rnacentral:lncRNA from 1 species